CGGCUGUGGGCUGAAAAAUUGCAUAUAAAAAAAAUAGCCAAUAAUAUAAAUUAUUACCAUGUAAAGCAGCUCUUGUAGUGUAAUUCAUAAAUAGUAUAGUUUGUGCGUGCGAGUUGGUGAUACAAUUAAGUGUUACGGAUAUUUUUUUUCUAGCGUCUUUGCCUAUUCUCUACUGCAACAAUAACGGGUCUUACAAGUAGCAUAAGUAACAAACAAAUAAACAAAACAAAAAAAAAAACAACAAGCAACAACAAUUAUUAACUAUGUAAAUAAGCAGAAAUUAGCAACAAGAGAGACAGAGAAAGAGAGAGAGCAACUGCAAGCCAAGCAAUAAUAUCGAGUGCAAC